rnacentral:rRNA from 1 species
AACGAACGCUGGCGGCAGGCUUAACACAUGCAAGUCGAGCGCCCCGCAAGGGGAGCGGCAGACGGGUGAGUAACGCGUGGGAAUCUACCCAUCACUACGGAACAACUCCGGGAAACUGGAGCUAAUACCGUAUACGUCCUUCGGGAGAAAGAUUUAUCGGUGAUGGAUGAGCCCGCGUCGGAUUAGCUAGUUGGUGGGGUAAUGGCCUACCAAGGCGACGAUCCAUAGCUGGUCUGAGAGGAUGAUCAGCCACACUGGGACUGAGACACGGCCCAGACUCCUACGGGAUGCAGCAGUGGGGAAUAGUGGACAAUGGGCGAAAGCCUGAUCCAGCCAUGCCGCGUGAGUGAUGAAGGCCCUAGGGUUGUAAAGCUCUUUCGCAGGUGAAGAUAAUGACGGUAGUCGGAGAAGAAGCCCCGGCUAACUUCGUGCCAGCAGCCGCAGUAAUAC